CGCUCAUUCACUGUAAAAAGGUUUUAAAAAUCGUAUUUUGAAAUUCGCGCCCGAUCCGAAUUGUCGCGAAGUGUUCCGUCGUACUGUCGAAGUUCGGCGAUCGCGUAUUUUCAUUACCCAUGCAAAAUUCAAAUGUCAAAGUGAAAUUAGAAAUUAUUCUCAUCAGAAAUCAACGAACAAGUCAAACUGAAUUAUUUUAUCCAGUGUGAUGAUUAUUUGCGCGACCCCGUCAAACGAGCCAUCUCGAACUACAGUCAGACCGUAUCCAAAAAGCCCAAGAUGAAGACUUCAAGACUUCGAGCAGCUGGUCUUCCUCAAAACCCCAUCAAAGCCCAUCGGCAGCAUUGCGACAUUUUCUGGGAGCCCUCAAGCUAGGAAUGUACUCGGGCUGCUUCACUCAGUCAAUUUAAACGGAAUAAAUGCACAAACUGCACAAAAUAUUUUAUUAGGUUAUGCUAUGUUCUACUGCGAUUAGAUGAAAAAGCGGGGGCCUGCAUGUUCUUCAACAGUUAAUUUAAUUAGUAGGUA